CUUUCUGACUGUUUGAGGCUCCGAUCAUGUAUCAGUAGAUGUUUUGGGUAAUUUUUCGACAUCUCUGGUCUUAUUCUGAUGAGUUCUUCAGAAUCUAGGGUUUUCCGACUUUCGGACCAGGGGUUUUGAUGUUAUCCGAUGAUUUUACCUUCGGUCAAUAGACGUUUUGGGUAAGUUUAUGACGUUUGUGACCUGAUUUUGGUGAGUUUCCGUUUAUCUGCAAUUUCCGGUGACCGGACUUAGUUUCAUCGGUGGUUGAAGGCUGUUCUUCUCCGGUCGCGAAGAAGGAGGGUAACACUUUCUCAGUUAUGAGUGUUGUAUAUGUUGAGACGUUUGUGACCUUAUUCUGGAGAGUUUCCGUUUAUCUGCAAUUUCCGGUGGCCGGACUUAGUUUCAUCGGUGGUUGAAGGUCGUUCUUCUCUGGUCGCGAAGAAGGAGGGUAACACUUUCUCUGUUCUAAGUGUUUUAUAUGUUGCAUGCUAGUUCUGGUUUGAUUGUGGUCUAUUCAUUGAAACUAUUUCUGUGUUGUUAAGUUUGUUCAUUAUUCAUGGGUGAUAAUACGAAUACUAAUACCUCCCCCACGGACUCUACUAGCCCCCCCUGAUUUACUCCUCCGACGUUCCUGGUAUGUCUCUUGUGUCCACUCCCUUUUGAGGCAGUGGUUAUGGAGGUUGGAGGAGGAAGAUGAUUGUUGCCUUAUCUGCUAAAAACAAGUACGAAUACUAAUACCUCCCUCACGGACUCUACUAGUCCCCCCUGAUUUACUCCUCCGACGUUCCUGGUAUGUCUCUUGUGUCCACUCCCUUUUCAGGCAGUGGUUAUGGAGGUUGGAGGAGGAAGAUGAUUGUUUCCUUAUCUGCUAAAAACAAAAUCGGAUUUGUUGAUGGCUCUUGUCUUCGACCAACCACUAAUGUGGCUGAACAGAGGCUGUGGGAUAGAUGCAAUAACAUGGUCAUUUCCUGGUUGACCGCUUCCCUAUCUCCUCAGAUUGCUGAUAGUGUGCAGUAUUCCGAUUUUGCACAGAGUAUAUGGUCCCAAAUUGAGAAAAGAUAUGGUACUCCUAACAAGACAAAAAUUUUUGAAUUAAAAGGGGAACUUUCUCACACAUCUCAAGGCUGUUUAGAUGUAGCCUCAUAUUUUAAUAAACUCAAAGGCCUGUGGNNNN
rnacentral:lncRNA from 1 species